UACGAAGGGGGCUAGCGUUGUUCGGAAUUACUGGGCGUAAAGCGUGCGCAGGCGGCCUUCCAAGUCAGGGGUGAAAGCCCAGAGCUCAACUCUGGAAUUGCCUUUGAGACUGUGAGGCUUGAGUACGGGAGAGGUGAGUGGAAUUCCCAGUGUAGAGGUGAAAUUCGUAGAUAUUGGGAAGAACACCGGUGGCGAAGGCGGCUCACUGGCCCGAAACUGACGCUCAUGCACGAAAGCGUGGGGAUCAAACAGG
rnacentral:rRNA from 1 species